rnacentral:rRNA from 1 species
GAUGAACGCUGGCGGCGUGCCUAAUACAUGCAAGUCGAGCGAACAGAUAAGGAGCUUGCUCCUUUGACGUUAGCGGCGGACGGGUGAGUAACACGUGGGUAACCUACCUAUAAGACUGGGAUAACUUCGGGAAACCGGAGCUAAUACCGGAUAACAUUUGGAACCGCAUGGUUCUAAAGUGAAAGAUGGUUUUGCUAUCACUUAUAGAUGGACCCGCGCCGUAUUAGCUAGUUGGUAAGGUAACGGCUUACCAAGGCGACGAUACGUAGCCGACCUGAGAGGGUGAUCGGCCACACUGGAACUGAGACACGGUCCAGACUCCUACGGGAGGCAGCAGUAGGGAAUCUUCCGCAAUGGGCGAAAGCCUGACGGAGCAACGCCGCGUGAGUGAUGAAGGGUUUCGGCUCGUAAAACUCUGUUAUUAGGGAAGAACAUAUGUGUAAGUAACUGUGCACGUCUUGACGGUACCUAAUCAGAAAGCCACGGCUAACUACGUG